rnacentral:tRNA from 1 species
GGGGUUGUAGCUCAGUGGCAGAGCACUUGCCUAGCAUGUGUGAGGCACUGGGUUCCAUCCUCAGCACCUCA